rnacentral:rRNA from 1 species
GAUGAACGCUGGCGGCGUGCCUAAUACAUGCAAGUCGAGCGAACAGAUAAGGAGCUUGCUCCUUUGACGUUAGCGGCGGACGGGUGAGUAACACGUGGGUAACCUACCUAUAAGACUGGAAUAACUUCGGGAAACCGGGGCUAAUGCCGGAUAACAUUUAGAACCGCAUGGUUCUAAAGUGAAAGAUGGUUUUGCUAUCACUUAUAGAUGGACCCGCGCUGCAUUAGCUAGUUGGUAAGGUAACGGCUUACCAAGGCAACGAUACGUAGCCGACCUGAGAGGGUGAUCGGCCACACUGGAACUGAGACACGGUCCAGACUCCUACGGGAGGCAGCAGUAGGGAAUCUUCCGCAAUGGGCGAAAGCCUGACGGAGCAACGCCGCGUGAGUGAUGAAGGUCUUCGGAUCGUAAAACUCUGUUAUUAGGGAAGAACAAAUGUGUAAGUAACUGUGCACGUCUUGACGGUACCUAAUCAGAAAGCCACGGCUAACUACGUG